AUUGAACGCUGGCGGCAAGCCUAACACAUGCAAGUCGAACGAGUGGCGGACGGGUGAGUAAUGUCUGGGAACCUGCCUUAUGGAGGGGGAUAACUACUGGAAACGGUAGCUAAUACCGCAUACCAUCGGAUGUGCCCAGAUGGGAUUAGCUAGUAGGUGGGGGAAAGACUCACCUAGGCGACGAUCCCUAGCUGGUCUGAGAGGAUGACCAGCCACACUGGAAAUGAGACACGGUCCAUACUCCUAAGGGAGGCAGCAGUGGGGAAUAGUGCACAAUGGGCGCAAGCAUGAUGCAGCCGGGCCGCGUGUAUGAAGAAGGCCUUCGGGGUGUAAAGUACUUUCAGCGGGGAUGCGUUACUCGCAGAAGAAGCACCGGCUAACUCCGUGCCAGCAGCCGCGGUAAUUC
rnacentral:rRNA from 1 species